rnacentral:tRNA from 1 species
GAGGGCAUAGCUCAGUGGCAGAGCUCAUGCCUAGCAUGUGUGAGGUCCUGGGUUCAGUUCCCAGUACAUCCA